AUCCAUAUGCCGAUACAAAAGGAUAUGCUCAAAUCCACCCAAACUCCUGCUUCCGCUGUUUUGCUACGGACCACCAAAUUGCUGCUUGUCGCGACCCUAUCCGUUGUCGCUCUUGCGGCCGCCAAGGACACCGGAGCCGACAGUGCUCAGCACCUCCGCUGCCUGUGUCGAAGUCUCACUCGCCGCCGCCCUCCCUGUCUGCACUACCUGCCCUCUCACCCGCUCUUGUCGCCGCUGCGCCUACCGCCAUUCCUUCCGUCUCCCUGCGCCAUCGUGCCUCGCCCCACUCCUCUGCUUGCUCCCGCCUAUCGUUGCCCCUGCCUCCCCCUCCCCCUCACGACCUUCCCCCGCCUGCCCCCCUGCCCACCCUCACCACCUCAUCAACCCCGCCCCCCGACCCCUCCCCUGUCAGUGCUCCCUCGGAGUCUGCUGGCUCGGGUUCCCUGGGCGGCCCUUGCCGACAAGGCUCCCUCGAUGUGUUCCUGCCCCCCGGCCGGCAUGCUGCUGCUGCUGUGUUCGCGUUUGCUUCUCUUACAUCUCAGUCGGCCAUUCAAGCUCCUACGCCCUUCAUCUGGGAAGCGAUCCGCGCUGCCCUCCCGGACAUCAAUCUUGAAGUGCUCCCCUACUCGCUUGGCUCCUUGCUUGUUCGCUUUCAGUCGGCGGGCGAAUGUGCUGCUGCUGUGGGUCGCUCCCCCUUGUUGCACAAAGACGCUGUGAUCACUCUGGUACCUCACGACGGGUUCAGCUCCAAGCGCCGGGUGGGGGUGCAAGCGGCCCUAUCCGUCCUCGGGUUUCCCCUGGCCUACUGGCAUGAGGACCUCCUUCGCCUGGCCUUCCUGUCCUUCGGCUCCGUCGUGGAGGUGGACUGGCGCUGCACCUCGGGCUAUGACUACUCCUCCGUCCGGGUGGUAGUCCAGGUGGACGACGUCUCUCGCAUUCCUGCUGAACUGCGACUUCGCGAUGCUUCUACUGGCGACUGCUAUAUCUGCCAGCUGCAGCUGAUUACCUCUUGGCCGAUUCCAGAUGCUUGUGCCCCCCUCGAAACUCCCCGUCCCUUUUUUGUCUUGCCGACUUCGCAACCUCUGGUAACCCCACCAGCUUACCACGUUGCGCAGCCCUGCCUGCUCCCCCUGUCCGCAUACCCAUCUGCACACCAAGCCCACUCCCGCCCUCACCACUGCCUCUCUGUUUCUACACUCACCACCACCCCCCACGUCUCCAUCCUUGCGCGUCUUGCUUCUAUGAUUCCCGCAGCGACCCUUCUUCAGCCCUGCCGUGCUCCUCUCCCUCGCCUCCCUGCUCUCCCCAUUAUCAUAAAGCUUUGUCAUCUCCCCAUGCUUGCUGUUGCAGACCCCCUUGCUGCCGCCCUCCCCCCUCUUCCUGACAUGGCCGCUGCGCAAAACUCCCCUGUCGCGGAGUGUAAAUCGCCUAUCCCCAUGUCCUCCCUUGAACCUGACCCUAUUCACGAGGCCUCUGCUCGGAAGAUCCGUGUCCGCGCCAAGCGUUCGGCUGAUCAUGCAGCCAAAUACAAGGGUGCUGGCCAACUCCUUGCUUCUCGCCACAGCGAGCGCUUGCGCGCGAAGGAGCCUGCUCACUAUGUCGAUAUGUCCACCAAAGCAUCGCGGCUGAAAUCUCUGAAGGAUGAACUAGCAAACUGCUCCAAGGAACUCAAGGUUCAGGUUAAGCGCCGUGGUCUGCUGCGCAACCGUACUUUGAAUGCUGCUGAUCUAAGGGCGCUCGCUGGCACGGUGGCCCUGUCGGCGACAGCUACAGCUGAGCUGGAACAGGUGCUUGGACAUUAUGCAUGAUUGUCACCAGCUCCUGUGCCCUGCCGAGGCUAGGCUCGUGUUCUCCUAGCAAGUUCUCCUUUGCAUCCCAUUUCUUACACUGUAUUUCCCUGUUCGGGCUCGAAUAUUUUGUUCUCCACAUGUAUGCCGAUGUUUCCACACACCCCCCUCUCUGGACGUCGUGUAUGUUUGUCUUAUGAACUCCAACCGCAAUAUUGUCAUUGUCUCUUGGAACGUUCGCGGUCUUGGCCACGAGGAUAAGUGUGCAGCUGUGCGCGAUGUGUUCGCUACCUGCCAUCCCUCGAUCGCAUGUGUCCAGGAGACCAAACUCAGUGACAUUCCCCCCAAAAAAUUCAAAUCCUUCCUUCCCACCUCUCUUUCUGCUCAUACUUUCCUCCCCGCCAAUGGCUCCCGCGGCGGCAUUGCGACUGCCUGGAACGCCUCCCAUUUCUCCCUUGUCUCUGUCUCCAAUGCAACCUAUACUCUCUCUACCGUCCUUUCUUACAACUUUUCUGAUAUCACCUUUACCCUUACAAACGUAUACGCUCCUGCUGACCACCUCUACACUGCUGCCUUCCUGGACGAGCUUCGCUCUCUCGCCAACUCAAUUUCUGGUCCCUGGAUGAUAACAGGUGACUUUAAUCUUAUUCGCGACCCCUCUGACAAAAACAAUGAUAACUUUGAUGUCUCCUUAGCGAGCGCUUUUAACAGUACCAUUCAUGAUUUAUCUCUAGUCGAGCUCCCACUCCUUGAUCGGCUUUUCACUUGGUCAAACAAACGUACGUCUCCUGUUCUGGCUCGACUUGAUCAUACUUUCUUCAAUGGUGAAUUUGAGUCUACUGCACCCAACACCUCCCUCACCUCCCUCUCUCACGCCACCUCAGAUCACACCCCUCUAAAAAUCACCAUAGACACCUCUAUCCCCAAAACUCGCUGCUUCCGUUUUGAGAAUGCUUGGCUCCAUAACCCCUCCUUCCUCCCUGUCAUUGAACCGGUUUGGACAACAGUUACUAACCAUGCAGGUUGUGCCACGGGUGCAUUUGUCGCUAGGUUAAAGGACACCCGCCGUGUCGCUAAGGAGAGAUGGUCCUACGUGCUCACUGCCGUGAAAAGCUCUUGCAGCUGAUCAAAGCUCGUGCUGCGUACUGGAAGCAACGUGGAAAAAUCAAAGUCGUCAAAGAGGCAGACGAGAACACUAAGUUUCACCAUGCGUAUGCCUCACACCGGAUGCGCCAGA
rnacentral:misc_RNA from 1 species